GAGGGUGUAGCUCAGUGGUAGAACACUUGCUUAGCAUGCACAGGGUCCUGGGUUCCAUUCCCAGUAUCUCCA
rnacentral:tRNA from 1 species